GUGCAGGUUUCCACAGCACAUACACUACAUUUGAAGCCACACAGAGAAUACUAGCAUGGCUCCUGCCCAAGGAUGACAUGAGAAUUCAUGAAUCAUUCCAUAUUUUU
rnacentral:snRNA from 1 species